ACAAUGCAAAAAGUACAGUAACAAGGUAAGAGUUGAAUACACAAAACCGUACAGAAAUCCCUACAUAAAUAGCCAAAUCUUUUGAAAAA